UACGGAGGAUCCGAGCGUUAUCCGGAUUUAUUGGGUUUAAAGGGAGCGUAGGUGGAUUGUUAAGUCAGUUGUGAAAGUUUGCGGCUCAACCGUAAAAUUGCAGUUGAAACUGGCAGUCUUGAGUACAGUAGAGGUGGGCGGAAUUCGUGGUGUAGCGGUGAAAUGCUUAGAUAUCACGAAGAACUCCGAUUGCGAAGGCAGCUCACUAGACUGCAACUGACACUGAUGCUCGAAAGUGUGGGUAUCAAACGGG
rnacentral:rRNA from 1 species